rnacentral:lncRNA from 1 species
UAUGCCCAUGGACAAACUACUGAGACUUUAGAAACCUGGAUGAGCUUCAUUUAUAGCACAAUGACAAGUGGGAUAUGCCCAACUUCCUUCCCUCAGAGGAGUUGUAUGCAGCACUGUAGAUGGCACUUAGGUCCAAGACUGAACCAGGAGAAGCUACACUACUGAAGAAAAGGUAGGAAUAGCCCACCUUUUCUGUGGCUUCACCUCUUCAGGACUGCCUGUGCGAAUGUGGCUGUGUCUGGCAGCUGAGGAAAUGGGUGGCAGCAACGCUUUGUGGGGCAUGGGGGCCUACCUGCAGUAAGGCUCAAAUUGCUCAGGGUUGUGGCAGGACAAGGGAGGGAGGCUGAGAUGUGGUGACAGCAGGUCGUAUGAUGUCUUGUCAGCCUCAGGUCAAGCCUGACUGUACGUGCUGUGUUACAGAGCCCAGAGGUGCACAGAAAUGUUCUUAACUCUCGCCCACAACCUAAAGCGGCCGCUCACGGCUCUGUCCUCAGACGUGACCCAAAUCCGGCACGGCCACGUCUGUGCUUGGCUACAGAAAGUCAGCUGGGUGCCAGCCCAGCUCCUGGCAUGAUCUGGAGCAGUUUCAAGGCAGUAAUGAGGAACAGAGAUGUGGACUUCGGGAUCUGGUGCUUGUGGAGCUGCUCGUAUGCUGCUUGUCUGAGCUGAGUGUAUUUCCUUCAGCCCAUUUCUUAAAGGAUUUAGACCUGUGGAGCUGCUGGGAGUCACUGCUGCCCCUCCCGCAGCCAGAGGCAGCUCGGGGUAAUCAGCACGUACAGGAAUAAGCUCUGACGGAGGAAGCCCGGAAGCUCGAGUGACUGAAUAAUGAAGAUGAAUCGGGAUUCCAGAAAGAGAGAAAAUCCUUCUUUUCCAUGCAGCCCAAACCCAGUAACCUGCUUUUGCCAACCUGUCCCUACGAAAUAAAAAAGAGGCAUUCAUUUGUACCUCCUCGUUUUCCUCUGUCAGAGGUCACACUCUCUGGACUUCGAUUCGGCUGGGAUCCUCCUCUGGACAAAGGUGAUGUGUCUUAGAGCGUCUUUGGCUUGGCAGGAACACUUAUUAAAAUACCACAAGUUCAGACAAUGCUGGUUACGAGGAGCACACAGCGCGCUGUAUGUGGGAGGACUGGCGCAGAGUUUCCAGUGAAAAUGAAGUGACUUAGAAAACUCUUCUUCACCCUGGCACAUCCCAGGGAGUGUAUUUGGUGUCUGUGUGUCUGAGGGAGCCUGCUCGGUGCGCGGUGUGUGUUUGUACAUGUCUCACUGAAAAUCUUGGGAAUCGCUUAGCUCCUCGCUAGCACACAGCACAGGUUUCAAAGCGUCCCAAAGAGUAUUCUUCUGUGUCCAAUGAAAGCCUGCCUCGGAUUUUAAGCAUAGCAGGGGCCAGGGUUUCAGCUGCUGUAAAUCAAUAGACUUCCAGGGAAGCUGGUGGGGCUACGCCAACUGGGGAAGGCUGAAAGCUCGGCCCCGCGUUGCUCCCGAUGCCCUGCCUCGGUGGCUCAGGCCGCAUGGGCAGAAGGCCCCGCGCAGUGACAGCCUGUGAAGCCGCAGCACAGUGCC